UUUCUAAAAGCCCUUAGCUUUUCAUUUACACUGAAACUAAUCUCAAUUCUAUAA
rnacentral:tRNA from 1 species